rnacentral:rRNA from 1 species
AUUGAACGCUGGCGGCAUGCCUUACACAUGCAAGUCGAACGGCAGCACGGGGCAACCUGGUGGCGAGUGGCGAACGGGUGAGUAAUGCAUCGGAACGUACCUUUCAGUGGGGGAUAACGUAGCGAAAGUUACGCUAAUACCGCAUAUUCUGUGAGCAGGAAAGCAGGGGAUCGCAAGACCUUGCGCUGAUUGAGCGGCCGAUGUCAGAUUAGGUAGUUGGUGGGGUAAAGGCCCACCAAGCCAACGAUCUGUAGCUGGUCUGAGAGGACGACCAGACACACUGGAACUGAGACACGGUCAAGACUCCUACGGGAGGCAGCAGUGGGGAAUUUUGGACAAUGGGCGAAAGCCUGAUCCAGCCAUUCCGCGUGCAGGAUGAAGGCCCUCGGGUUGUAAACUGCUUUUGUACAGAACGAAAAGGUUUCUACUAAUACUAGGAGCUCAUGACGGUACUGUAAGAAUAAGCACCGGCUAACUACGUGCCAGCCGCCGCGGUAACAC